GAGCAGAGAGAACUGGAAAGGAGCGGUUCACCGUGUCAGCCCAAAGUGAUGCGUGUCGCAUGUACUCCACCUCCUGGUCUACAGCUAGUCAUGUGACCCGGCCUAACUCUAAGCAGACUAGGAGGUGAAGUCUUCUGUGUGCCCUGGAAGAAGGAAGAGGAAAUGGGUUUUGGUGAGCACAUAGCAUCAUCUCUGCCAAAUGUUUUUCCUUCCAUGUGGAGUUUCGAAAAAGUAGACACCCUGUCUGAAACUGCCAAGCCUGAUACUUAGAACAAAGCAGAUCUAAAGCCCGACAGAAGAGAAUCAUCUGGAGGUCACUCGAGAAGCAUUAUCCCGCCGGUAGCAUGUGCUCAUGUGUGGCCAAGCUAUUUGCAUAAAACCCAAACCUAAAGGGACCUGGAUGAAUACACCAGGAUAAGGAAGUCGGCUUUUACGCUAAAUGAAGAAGGCAGCCAUUGCAGAGUUCUGAGCAGAGAAGGGAGACAAUCUGAGACAUCGGUAAAGGAUCAUUCCAGCUGCAGUAAGGAAGAGAAACCUUAGAAGAAAC
rnacentral:lncRNA from 1 species